rnacentral:tRNA from 8 species
AGUCGCGUAGCUCAGUUGGUUAGAGCACCACCUUGACAUGGUGGGGGUCGGUGGUUCGAAUCCACUCGCGACUACCA